GACGAACGCUGGCGGCGUGCUUAACACAUGCAAGUCGAGCGGAAAGGCCACUUCGGUGGUACUCGAGCGGCGAACGGGUGAGUAACACGUGAGUAAUCUGCCCUUCACUCUGGGAUAGCCACCGGAAACGGUGAUUAAUACCGGAUACGACCACUCCACGCAUGUGGUGGUGGUGGAAACUUUUUGGGUGGGGGAUGUGCUCGCGGCCUAUCAGCUUGUUGGGGGGGUAAUGGCCUACCAAGGCUUCGACGGGUAGCCGGCCUGGGAGGGGGACCGGCCACACUGGGACUGUGACACGGCCCAGACUCCUACGGGAGGCAGCAGUGGGGAAUAUUGGACAAUGGGCGGAAGCCUGAUCCAGCAACGCCGCGUGAGGGAUGACGGCCUUCGGGUUGUAAACCUCUUUCAGCACCGACGAAGCGCAAGUGACGGUAGGUGCAGAAGAAGGACCGGCCAACUACGUGCCAGCCGCCGCUGUAA
rnacentral:rRNA from 1 species